UAAGGAAUAUUGCUCAAUGGGAGAAAUCCUGAAGCAGCAACGCCGCGUGGAGGAUGAAGGGUUUUUAACUUGUAAACUCCUGUAAAGAAGGAAAAAAUUCCCAUUAGAUGGGAAAUGAUGGUACUUCUGGAGUAAGCCCCGGCUAACUACGUGCCAGCAGCCGCGGUAAUACGUAGGGGGCAAGCGUUGUCCGGAUUUACUGGGUGUAAAGGGUGCUCAGGCGGAUUUGUAAGUCAGAGGUGAAAUCUCACAGCUUAACUGUGAAACUGCCUUUGAUACUGCAAGCCUAGAGUAUGGAAGAGAGUGAUGGAAUAUCUGGUGUAGCAGUGAAAUGCGUAGAUAUCAGAUAGAACACCAAUGGCGAAGGCAGUCACUUGGUCCAUAACUGACGCUAAAGCACGAAAGCGUGGGUAGCAAACAGGAUUAGAUACCCUGGUAGUCCACGCCCUAAACGAUGAAUACUAGAUGUUGGCUUCGCAUGAAGUCAGUAUCUGAGCUAACGCAUUAAGUAUUCCACCUGGGAAGUACGAUCGCAAGGUUG
rnacentral:rRNA from 1 species